GACGAACCGUGCGAACGUUGUUCGGAAUCACUGGGCUUAAAGGGCGCGUAGGCGGGCAUUCAAGUCCGGGGUGAAAGCCCCCAGCUUAACUGGGGAAGGGCCUUGGAAACUGGAUGUCUCGAGGGAGGUAGGGGUCUGUGGAACUUCGGGUGGAGCGGUGAAAUGCGUUGAUAUCCGAAGGAACGCCGGUGGCGAAAGCGACGGACUGGACCUCUUCUGACGCUGAGGCGCGAAAGCCAGGGGAGCAAACGGG
rnacentral:rRNA from 1 species